rnacentral:rRNA from 1 species
UUUUUGAAAUGGGUUCUAUUCCCAAACCGUGUAUACAUACCUUUGUUGCUUUGGCAGGCCGCCUUUUAGGCGUCGGCUCCGGCUGACUGCGCCUGCCAGAGGACCCAAACUCGUUUGUUUAGUGAUGUCUGAGUACUAUAUAAUAGUUAAAACUUUCAACAACGGAUCUCUUGGUUCUGGCAUCGAUGAAGAACGCAGCGAAAUGCGAUAAGUAAUGUGAAUUGCAGAAUUCAGUGAAUCAUCGAAUCUUUGAACGCACAUUGCGCCCCUUGGUAUUCCGAGGGGCAUGCCUGUUCGAGCGUCAUUAUAACCACUCAAGCCUCGGCUUGGUCUUGGGGUUCGCGGUCUCGCGUCCCUUAAAAUCAGUGGCGGUGCCGUCUGGCUCUAAGCGUAGUAAUUCUCUCGCUAUAGGGUCCCGGCGGUUGCCUGCCAGAACCCCCCAUUUUUUACGGUUGACCUCGGAUCAGGUAGGGAUACCCGCUGAACUUAAGCAUAUCAAA